rnacentral:lncRNA from 1 species
CUCUACCGCUCCUGCUGUCUCUAGAGAGUUGAAAACAGCAGGUCUGGGACAGGUAGCACGUCCGGUGAACAGGUCAGGGUUCCAUAGCUGCAGGCAGAACAGUUGGAACUGGAGCAGCAGCACGGCCAGGUGGACUGGGGACAGCAAGGAGUCGUCAAGCCAGGUAGUCCUGAGGCAUGGUCCUAGGGCUCAGGUCCUCCGAGAGAAAGACAGAAAGAGAGAAAGAGAGAAUUAGAGAGAGCAUAUUUAAAUACACACAGGACACCGGAUAAGACAAGAGAAAUACUCCAGAUGUAACAGACUGACCCUAGCCCCCGACACAUAAACUACUGCAGCAUAAAUACUGGAGGCUGAGACAGGAG